rnacentral:rRNA from 1 species
CGGUGAUAGCAAUAUCAUAGUGGCGCACGGGUGCGUAACACGUAUGCAACCUACCUAUUAUUGGGGGAUAGCCUUUGGAAACGGUUAUUAAUACCGCAUAAUACGAUUGACUGGCAUCGGUUGAUUGUUAAAGCUUCGGCGACAAUAGAUGGGCAUGCGUCCAAUUAGUUAGUUGGUUAGGUAACGGCUGACCAAGACGAUGAUUGGUAGGGGAUCUGAGAGGAUAAUCCCCCACACUGGCACUGAGAUACGGGCCAGACUCCUACGGGAGGCAGCAGUAGGGAAUAUUGGGCAAUGGGCGGAAGCCUGACCCAGCCAUGCCGCGUGCAGGAAGAAGGCGUUAUGCGUUGUAAACUGCUUUUUUAUAGGAAGAAGGAUCCCUUGCGAGGGAAGGUGACGGUACUAUAAGAAUAAGCACCGGCUAACUCCGUGCCAGCAGCCGCGGUAAUACGGAGGGUGCAAGCGUUGUCCGGAUUUAUUGGGUUUAAAGGGUGCGUAGGCGGUUUAUUAAGUCAGUGGUGAAAGACGGUCGCUCAACGAUUGCAGUGCCAUUGAUACUGGUAGACUUGAGUGAGAUUGAGGUAGCUGGAAUGGAUAGUGUAGCGGUGAAAUGCAUAGAUAUUAUCCAGAACACCGAUUGCGAAGGCAGGUUACUAAGUCUUAACUGACGCUGAGGCACGAAAGUGUGGGGAUCAAACAGGAUUAG